rnacentral:rRNA from 1 species
UACGUAGGGUGCGAGCGUUGUCCGGAAUUAUUGGGCGUAAAGAGCUCGUAGGCGGUUUGUUGCGUCGGCUGUGAAAACCUGCGGCUUAACUGUGGGCUUGCAGUCGAUACGGGCAGACUUGAGUUCGGCAGGGGAGACUGGAAUUCCUGGUGUAGCGGUGAAAUGCGCAGAUAUCAGGAGGAACACCGGUGGCGAAGGCGGGUCUCUGGGCCGAUACUGACGCUGAGGCGCGAAAGCGUGGGGAGCAAACAGG